UUCAUCUCUUGUUUUCUGUCUGCCCAUCUCUCCCCACAGAAGCAGGAUUUCUAGCUGGUUGUAGUGGGAGUGCAGCAUAGUUAUGAGAACCAGAAGGAGCUUUAUAGAUGGUGAAGCUUCUGAUCAAGAUAUUGAGCACUGAAUCUUCUAGGCUGUCAUCCUCCUCUCCCCAUUCAAGGCUGUUAUUGGCUCUCAGCUAGGCAGACCCCGACAUUUCGGUAACAGUUUCUGGCAACCCCAGAUGGGACUCUCCUAUCUCGGACAUAGGACUUCGGAUGGCUGCGGUGAACUAGGAGCGGUGCCACCGUGGUGUUUAGCCCCUCUUCCUCACUUCACCGUGGCCCCUGGGGUUUGUGCUCUGAUAAGACUCUGAAGCUGCCCUCUCCACUGUUACUGUCAAGCCGAAGAAAGGUAGACCUCUGUUUUUUGUUUUUCAAAUAAUAAAAAAAAACUAAUGCCAGCUAAACAGCAUUCAACAUACCAUGCACUGACUGGCACAAUAAAAAUGAUGUUUUGUGUUCUAUAUUCUGUCUUAUGGUGUUUGUCUCGUGGCCAAAAUUGUUGUGUUUAAUAU